rnacentral:rRNA from 1 species
CGUAACGCGUAUACAAUCUACCUUUUACAGGGGGAUAGCCCAGAGAAAUUUGGAUUAAUUCCCCAUGGCAUAUAUUUAUGGCAUCAUAUAUAUAUUAAAGAUUCAUCGGUAAGAGAUGAGUAUGCGUUCUAUUAGCUAGUUGGUGCGGUAACGGCGCACCAAGGCUACGAUAGAUAGGGGCCCUGAGAGGGGGAUCCCCCACACUGGUACUGAGACACGGACCAG